rnacentral:rRNA from 1 species
AGGAUGAACGCUGGCGGUGUGCCUAAUACAUGCAAGUCGAACGGGCUCUUCGGAGCUAGUGGCGGACGGGUGAGUAACACGUUGGUACCUACCCUCAAGUGGGGAAUAACUGGCCGAAAGGUCGGCUAAUACCGCAUAUUGCCGAAAGGUGAAAGCAGUAAUGCGCUUGAGGAGGGGCCUGCGUCUGAUUAGCUAGUUGGCGGGGUAAAUGCCCACCAAGGCGACGAUCAGUAGCUGGAUCGAGAGGUUGACCAGCCACACUGGGACUGAGAUACGGCCCAGACUCCUACGGGAGGCAGCAGUAAGGAUCUUCCACAAUGGACGAAAGUCUGAUGGAGCAACACCGCGUGCAGGAUGACGGCCUUCGGGUUGUAAACUGCUUUUAUAUGGGAAGAUUAUGACGGUACCAUAUGAAUAAGGACCGGCUAACUACGCGCCAGCAGCCGC